UGAAGGAAUCUUAGGUUAUAUUUAUAGGUAUUAAAAAAAAAAUUAAAUUUAAACCAAAGAACCAUUUUUCAUGGGUUGAAGAAAGAUGGUCAAACUCGGUAAUUUCUCGCCCGUACUCGUGCCGAACCGAGGUGGUGGCAGGGUGUUCGCCGAGGCCACCUCGGAUUUGCCGAGUUGCACGCUCCUUGAAGUCUUACAACGAUCACUGAUCGGCCCUCAUAACCAUGGCUAUUCUCUUCGUCGAUUCUCAUAUCGGGCAGCUUGCUCCCUGAUUUCCCAUGCCCCCGCCCACGGCCCUCCUUGUCCAUUCCCAUGUUGGUCAAUUCCCAUGUGCAGAAACCACAACCAAAUCAUCUGAAUCCCUUAUUAUCCUACAAAUUCGUUUUCAUCUAUCAGAAAUUGAUACCAAAUCACUUGACCCGAUCAAAAUCGCAGAGAAUUUAUUUUGUAAACAAAUUGGCGACUUUUCGUCAGGAUCAUUUCCAUAGUAGAAGCAGAGCGGUUGAAGUAUUCAUCAUAAUUGAGUUGAUAUGAAAUUAGUAGAACUCAUAAUCGCAAUCUCAACCUUGUUCUUUGGAAUAUGGCAUGACAUGGAUAUAACAUUAAUUGAUUUAAUGUGUCAAAAAAAGAAAGACUCAAGUUUGACUUCAGACAAAGAGAGUAAGCAGAGACUAAAGGUACUCUGUUUGGUUUUUUAGUAGCACGUCUUCCAUUCAAAUUAACAGCCGAUUGCAUGUAAAUUGCUUUGAAAUGCAAAACUUCUUUUUAAUAUUUAAAGUUGUCAUCUUUGUAAAGAAAUUUUUUAUCUAUAAUAUAAAAUAUAAAUAUCUAUUUCCUAAUACAAAAUUUGUAUAUAUGAAUGAGUAAUGUAGCAUAGGCGGUAUAUAGCAUCAAAAUCAUAAAAUUAUGUUACCGAAUUGCCUACAAUCUUUGGCAACUCUCUUGAAUUUGAAUUUUAUGGUAUAGAGUUUGGUGGCCAAAGUAAAUACAUAAAACACAAAUAUUUUGUUGAAAUUUUUUCAGGGUAACUAAUUAUUCCACAUCAAUUGAUAGGAAUUUCGUAUUUGGAAUUAAGAUGAUUUGCAACUAAUACAAACUGCAAAUGUUCUCUACAUAUUGUUUAAAACUCUAUUGGUGUUUGUUUUUCGGUCGUUAUUAUUUGACAUACAUUGUAGAAAAUAAUUUAUCAUAUGUAAUUAAUCUACCAUUGUUAUUUUUGCUACUUGUUACAUUUAUUGGAAAUCCAAGUGAUGGAAAAAUUUGUUGCUAAAUUUCACCUGAAAAUAAAUCAGGUGAAAGGUCGGUGCUAAAUUUCAGACAAAGUUUAUGUAGCUUAUCCGUCGUGAAGUAUUAAGCAAUAGAUUUGUCCUUGACUCAUACAUGAUUUUCCAUAAGUGAAGCGUCUAAAAGGAUAGCAAUCUUCACUGUCUUAUUUGUUUAUCUACUACAUAAUAAUUUAAGAAAACAUAUGAGAAGUAUUAUAACAAAAAGGCAUUCAACUAAAUACAUAUUAUGAGGGUGCAUAUAAGGAACAUUAUAAAAGCAAAUAACAUUGAAAGUACACCAAUAUCAAGCCUUCAUCAACAGAUUUGAAACUUGGCGCAUUGUUGGCCUUUCUUGUGGAUUUGAGUUCAAACAUGCUCUCGAGAGAUUCAGUACCAAAUUAACCUGUUUUUCAACUUGUGGUGAAGGAAGUGGAAUCCGACUAUCUCCAACAUUUGCUAACACCAGAUAAUCAACAGACAAUGUUGGUAGUUCACCAGGAUGCUUUCCCAUCAUCACUUCUAGUGCAACAAUCCCAAAGCUAUACACAUCACAUUUCUCAG